rnacentral:RNase_P_RNA from 1 species
CCAGCUGGCCGGGCGGCCGCGCCCGCAAGAGCCGAAAGGCUGCGGGUGAGGAAAGUCCGGGCUCCAUGGAGACACGGUGCCGGCUAACGGCCGGCGGGGGAGACCCCAGGGANNNNNNNNNNGGAAAGGGUGAAAGGGUGGGGUAAGAGCCCACCGCGCGACUGGCAACAGAAGCGGCACGGCAAACCCCACCGGGAGCAAGACCGAAUAGGGGCGGUGCGAAGGGAAACCUUCGAGGGCUGUUUCCGGCCCACCGCCCGGGUAGGUUGCGUGAGGCGCAUGGCGACAUGCGCCCAAGAUGAAUGGCCGCCACGUUCCCGCGCCGCAAGGCGUGGGGGCCAUACAGAACCCGGCUUACAGGCCAGCUGGCAUU